GAAAUAUUAUGGCGCUUUCAAGGGAGGGUCAAGCUGUUUUACAACCAGAAAUGUUGUUGACGUUGCUACGGUCAAGGGUGGAUCGGAAUGCAAGCGCCUCAUUUUUUGCUCGUGCUUGCUGUUGUCUUCCACCAUGUUUCCGUUAUUGCUUGACACCAUCCGGUUGUCGGCGGUGACGGUCCCCGGCGCACGAAUCCCGUCACAGCCUUUGUCGCCCGGCAUAACGGGCUCGGGAAAGCAACGCUUAGAUUUAUUACCCAGCUGCCCUCAAAUAUGUUCCUGCUUGACAGCGACCUCGGAGGAGGAUUAGCAGCAGCCUCAGGCGGCCAAGUGCAAUUGAAUAUUUAUAUGCUGCUGAGCUGAGGCAAAAAAAAAAAAAUUGUAUGCAACAUUUUCACGGGCAACCAAAGUCUGACAUGGAUUAAUUAAGCAAAGCACAGCGGGACGAAUCCAAUUCGCUUUGAUUUUGCGGAGUCAUGUAGUUUCACUUUUUUCCUUUUCCAGGCUAAAAAAAGUUUUAGUAACAACAGCAUGUUUUCUUCAGAGCAUAAUUACUGCGGUUUUAUCUAUCAAAAGUUCUGGAAGAAUCUACUGGUAUCGGUCUGCAGUUAUAUUUCACGUCAAGAUAAUUCAUCUCAAAUUAGAACGCCCAAAUGGCCACUGAAGCUAAUUUCAUGUUUAAUGGGGAGAGACGGGGGGCGGGGCUUCCUCUUGCCCCUAACACAAAGGUGUACACUAAGUAUUAACUUUGCCUUACUAAUCCCAAUGCUGCAGAGAAUAGACAUGAAAGACUUUGACCUCGCCUUGGAGCCAAGAGAAGGUCUUUGGCUGCCAUCUUUCUCUGCUGGAGCUCUUCAUGCUGCUAUUGUUCCAUCAGCAACUCCAGCUGUCAGCGCCCUCGAGACGGCAAGAUGAACGGCCGAGCCGAGCAGCCUGUUCGCUGAAGGGCCUGUCAUCAACUCGUCCGGCCGCCGCAAGGAUCCAACAAGGGGGAAAACUGUGAUGCAGAACCCGUGGCGGGCUUCCAGUGACUGAUCCAAAGGCGACGGCUGAUAAGAGCGUGAGGUCACUCCGACGAGUCAACCAAGCUAAUCGUCGAGUCAUCGACUCCUACGCUUGGCCUGCACCCCUCGAGUUCAACGGCGGGCCAAGAGAGAACGAUGGGAGCACAAAUGACUGACUGAUGGCUGACACUGAUGAAAUUUAAGAGAACGACCAGCGCACAUGUUCAUGUCCGGGUGGCGUAAUUGCAGAAAGCCACGGUGCGUGUAAAAGAGUGGAAUGAAAACAAGGUGCAAUGAAUGCACCAGCGUGUCCUGGGUGUGCUGAUGAGAGCCAGAGACCAGACCUAAUCCACCCUGGUGGCGAGACGCGUGAGGGUAAACAUGCAAAUGUUUCGGUCUUGAGCUACAGCGGCGAGCUGGCUCGGAAGUGAACAUCUGUUGAUGAUCAGCAUUCCAGCAAGCUCACGCCUGCGAGGAUAAACCCCAGCGCAGUCCUAAAGGACCGAGAGCAGCGAAGGCCAUAAAAACCGAGUCACCAAAGAAGUCUGCGUGCUUCACCUCUGCCCUCGACACAAGCCUGUUAGCGUGCACUAUUUAGUCCGAUAACCUGACAGGAGAGUUUGGGUUUCAGCAUCAAGAUUCUUGAGCAGGCCCAGCUGUCUCCUGAAAGGAUUCGAUGGACACCUCUCACAAUAAAGCGGCGACAUCUUUGCCUUCAUAUAAAAAUAACACAGCCCCAUUUCCAUCACCAAGCACUUCAUU